GUUUGGUUUGAUAGUUUAUUCAUGCCUACUAUCCAAUGUGAUUCGUGUGCUUAUAUGAUUACCUUGAAUGUGAUUUGGAACGACUUCCUAAAUCUCAUUUAUACUCUGGCCAGAGAUUCUUAAUCAUAUCAUAGAGUAUUCUCUCCCAAACGGUUUGAAGGUUAGAGAUCCCUUGUUGUGCAUUCACUUGCCUCCAUGGCUAAAUGGCUUAACCCCGACGAUGCCGUGGACACCCGCGGAUGGGG
rnacentral:lncRNA from 1 species